rnacentral:rRNA from 1 species
GACGUAGGGCGCGAGCGUUGUCCGGAAUUAUUGGGCGUAAAGAGUUCGUAGGCGGUUUGUUGCGUCGGCUGUGAAAUCCCGAGGCUCAACCUCGGGUCUGCAGUCGAUACGAGCAAACUAGAGUGUUGCAGGGGAGACUGGAAUUCCUGGUGUAGCGGUGAAAUGCGCAGAUAUCAGGAGGAACACCAGCGGCGAAGGCGGCGCUCUGGGCUGGAACUGACGCUGAGGAGCGAAAGCGUGGGGAGCGAACAGG